rnacentral:tRNA from 1 species
GCGGGUAUAGUUUAGCGGUAAAACAUCUGCUUCCCAAGCAGGGGUCGGCGGUUCGAUUCCGCCUACCCGCACCA